rnacentral:rRNA from 1 species
GACGAACGCUGGCGGCGUGCCUAAUACAUGCAAGUCGAACGCUUUUUCUUUCACCGGAGCUUGCUCCACCGAAAGAAAAAGAGUGGCGAACGGGUGAGUAACACGUGGGUAACCUGCCCAUCAGAAGGGGAUAACACUUGGAAACAGGUGCUAAUACCGUAUAACACUAUUUUCCGCAUGGAAGAAAGUUGAAAGGCGCUUUUGCGGCACUGAUGGAUGGACCCGGGGUGCAUUAGCUAGUUGGUGAGGUAACGGCUCACCAAGGCAACGAUGCAUAGCCGACCUGAGAGGGUGAUCGGCCACACUGGGACUGAGACACGGCCCAGACUCCUACGGGAGGCAGCAGUAGGGAAUCUUCGGCAAUGGACGAAAGUCUGACCGAGCAACGCCGCGUGAGUGAAGAAGGUUUUCGGAUCGUAAAACUCUGUUGUUAGAGAAGAACAAGGAUGAGAGUAAAACGUUCAUCCCUUGACGGUAUCUAACCAGAGAGCCACGGCUAACUACGUGCCAGCCGCCGCCGUAA